rnacentral:rRNA from 1 species
CCUACGGGGGGCUGCAGUGGGGAAUAUUGGACAAUGGGGGGAACCCUGAUCCAGCCAUGCCGCGUGUGUGAAGAAGGCCCUCGGGUUGUAAAGCACUUUCAGUGAGGAAGAACGCCUGGUGGUUAAUACCCAUCAGGAAAGACAUCACUCACAGAAGAAGCACCGGCUAACUCCGUGCCAGCAGCCGCGGUAAUACGGAGGGUGCGAGCGUUAAUCGGAAUUACUGGGCGUAAAGCGCGCGUAGGUGGCUUGAUAAGCCGGUUGUGAAAGCCCCGGGCUCAACCUGGGAACGGCAUCCGGAACUGUCAAGCUAGAGUGCAGGAGAGGAUGGUAGAAUUCCCGGUGUAGCGGUGAAAUGCGUAGAGAUCGGGAGGAAUACCAGUGGCGAAGGCGGCCUUCUGGACUGACACUGACACUGAGGUGCGAAAGCGUGGGUAGCAAACAGGAUUAGAUACCCCGGUAGUC